AAGCUCGUAGUUGAAUUUCGGGACCUUAUUGUCGGUCGUGCCUCGGUACGUACUGGCGUUAUUGGUUCCUCCCUUCUGAAGAACCGCGGUGUCAUUAAUUUGGUGUCGCGGGGAAUCAGGACUGUUACUUUGAAAAAAUUAGAGUGUUUAAAGCAGGCUCGCGCUUGAAUACAUUAGCAUGGAAUAAUGAAAUAGGACGUUCGAUCCUAUUUUGUUGGUUUCUAGGAUUGACGUAAUGAUUAAUAGGGAUAGUUGGGGGCAUUAGUAUUCAAUUGUCAGAGGUGAAAUUCUUGGAUUUAUUGAAGACUAACUACUGCGAAAGCAUUUGCCAAGGAUGUUUUCAUUAAUCAAGAACGAAAGUUAGGGGAUCGAAGACGAUCAGAUACCGUCGUAGUCUUAACCAUAAACUAUGCCGACUAGGGAUCGGAUGAUGUUAUUUUUAAUGACUCAUUCGGCGCCUUACGGGAAACCAAAGUGUUUGGGUUCCGGGGGGAGUAUGGUCGCAAGGCUGAAACUUAAAGGAAUUGACGGAAGGGCACCACCAGGGGUGGAGCCUGCGGCUUAAUUUGACUCAACACGGGGAAA
rnacentral:rRNA from 1 species